GGACUACCAGGGUUUCUAAUCCCGUUUGCUCCCCUGGCCUUCGUGCCUCAGCGUCAGUAACUGUCCAGAAACUCGCCUUCGCCACUGGUCUUCCUUACGAUCUCUACGCAUUUCACUGCUACACCGUAAAUUCCAGUUUCCUCUCCAGUACUCUAGUCUCCCAGUAUUCAAUGCAAUUCCAGGGUUAAGCCCCGGGAUUUCACAUCAAACUUAGGAAACCGCCUACGCACCCUUUACGCCCAAUGAAUCCGAACAACGCUCGGGACCUCUGUAUUACCGCGGCUGCUGGCAC
rnacentral:rRNA from 2 species